rnacentral:misc_RNA from 1 species
GAUGAAGAACGUAGCGAAAUGCGAUACGUAAUGUGAAUUGCAGAAUUCAGUGAAUCAUCGAAUCUUUGAACGCAUAUUGCGCUCUCUGGUAUUCCGGAGAGCAUGCUUGUUUGAGUAUCAGUAAACACCUCAACUUCCAUAUCUUUUUUGAAAUGGGAGUUGGACUUGAGUGAUCCCAACGCUUUUCCUCACCGAAAAGUGGCGGGUUACUUGAAAUGCAGGUGCAGCUGGACUUUUCUCUGAGCUAUAAGCAUAUCUAUUUAGUCUGCCUAAAAAACAGAUUAUUACCUUUGCUGCAGCUAACAUCAAGGAGAUUAGUUCUUGUGCUGACUGAUGCAGGAUUCACAAAGACGGCUUCGGCCGACUUUGUAAACUCGAUCUCAAAUCAAGUAAGACUACCCGCUGAACUUAAGCAUAUCAAUAAGCGGAGGA